AUGUUGUUCUUCCUCUUGUUCUUGUUGCUGUCCUCCCUGGUGGCUUUGCAUGCGGAAUAUUCCGGACAACACAGUUUGAUCAUAUAUGUGACAUUUGCUCCCGGUCAUCAAUAUCUACCUAAAUACUCAUCAUAUGGCAUGCUUGACGAUUACAGAGUAUUUACUUAUGACAGCACCUCUGAUGUAUUUUCACAUCCCUUUGGCCAACUGGAAUCUCUGUCCACUGUCUGGAGAGAUCUUAGGGAUUGCACGAACUUUAAAACGGGCUAUUUCAACCUGUUUUCAAGAUAUUCAAAUUUAACCUUGGGGUUGAAAGGUAGGUUUGGCACUACAACUUAACUUACAACCUAAAACUAUCAACCAGAAGAAAAUAAAUAUAUGAAUACUUGUUAUACUAAAUAAUGUUAGUAUAAUAUUAUACACAUUUUGACUGACAAAAAUGUGCAUUGUAUGAGGGUGUUUUAAUAAAUGAUAUAAUAUUGAUAUGCUGUAGGUACAGUUUAUUGCCAAUAAACAACCAUUUUCCACAUAAUCUCUAUAGAUGACUAACAGUUUGUAACUUCAGUCAUCUAUCCCAUCAAGAACUAUGUAAAUUUAAACAUGUUUUAAACAUUAGGUGGCGUAGUGGCCUUGUGAGACAGCACCAAUCUGAUCUGGCAGCUUUUGGGAUUAAAUAAGAAAUUUUACUCAUUUAAUUUUGUCUUGUUAUAUCUUGAAACACUUUUGUAGUAAUAUUAAUAAAAUGACAAAAUGAUUAUGUAAGGAAAAAGAGGACAGAAAUUUAUGUUGAAGAAAGGUUUUCACACUAUGAUUGUACAAACAAAAUCAAAGUCACUUGUUUAUAAAAAAGAAAAGGAAAAAGAGUUUUAACUUGCAUAACCUUCACAAUAUUCAACAGUAAAUUUAAAACUUUUAGUUGGGUAUGUUUGCAGAAAUAAAAUAACUGUGUUUAGGCUUACAGUAUGGUUGUCAUACAAGAAUUCAUCAAAUUUAUCAGCUUCUGCACACAGAGUUGUAGAUUUAAUAACUGCAAAUAUUACAUUAAUCCAAGACUAUGUAAUGGGAAGAGAGUUACUACGCUCAAAAUCACAAUAGCUUUUGUCUGCCUUUUCAAUAGAGACCAAUAUUCCGCAACGUUGCAGCAAAUUGGUCCUCCACUAAUAUUUUAUUGCAUAGUAGGAAUGAAAAAGAUUCCUAAAAAUGGUUCCAGUUCUAAUUAAAUGAUGAUUUUGUAUUUU
rnacentral:lncRNA from 12 species